CAGAGCAAUGUUUUUGCUUCUGGCUGUGCUGAAGUAGCUGCCUACAGAGCUCAAACCGGCCAAGAGUGACUACAGCUCUAUGGGAAACAGUGCCUGGGAGCAGUCUGUCAGAGGAAAGAUUUGGAGCCAGCUCUUGCACCUGUAUUUCAGAGAUGGCCUGAGGCUGCCACACACAUUUAUACAGAAGGAAAAGCCUUAAAAAGCUGGUUUGGAUUCCUACCACCAACAACCUUGGAGCAGCUUGACCUGAAAUGCUUUCAGACUGUGGAAGAAGGACUACCCUGGGCCUAACUGGAGUUUACAGUUUGUGACAAGUCUCUCUUGCUCAAUAUUUCCUUGUCUGUGCAAGGUUUGCCACAACAUUU